UGGGGAAUAUUGCACAAUGGGCGCAAGCCUGAUGCAGCCAUGCCGCGUGUAUGAAGAAGGCCUUCGGGUUGUAAAGUACUUUCAGCGGGGAGGAAGGGAGUAAAGUUAAUACCUUUGCUCAUUGACGUUACCCGCAGAAGAAGCACCGGCUAACUCCGUGCCAGCACCCGCGGUAAUACGGAGGGUGCAAGCGUUAAUCGGAAUUACUGGGCGUAAAGCGCACGCAGGCGGUUUGUUAAGUCAGAUGUGAAAUCCCCGGGCUCAACCUGGGAACUGCAUCUGAUACUGGCAAGCUUGAGUCUCGUAGAGGGGGGUAGAAUUCCAGGUGUAGCGGUGAAAUGCGUAGAGAUCUGGAGGAAUACCGGUGGCGAAGGCGGCCCCCUGGACGAAGACUGACGCUCAGGUGCGAAAGCGUGGGGAGCAAACAGG
rnacentral:rRNA from 1 species